rnacentral:rRNA from 1 species
GAUGAACGCUGGCGGCGUGCCUAAUACAUGCAAGUCGAGCGAACAGAUGAGGAGCUUGCUCCUCUGACGUUAGCGGCGGACGGGUGAGUAACACGUGGAUAACCUACCUAUAAGACUGGGAUAACUUCGGGAAACCGGAGCUAAUACCGGAUAAUAUAUUGAACCGCAUGGUUCAAUAGUGAAAGACGGUUUUGCUGUCACUUAUCGAUGGAUCCGCGCCGCAUUAGCUAGUUGGUAAGGUAACGGCUUACCAAGGCAACGAUGCGUAGCCGACCUGAGAGGGUGAUCGGCCACACUGGGACUGAGACACGGUCCAGACUCCUACGGUAGGCAGCAGUAGGGAAUCUUCCGCAAUGGGCGAAAGCCUGACGGAGCAACGCCGCGUGAGUGAUGAAGGUCUUCGGAUCGUAAAACUCUGUUAUUAGGGAAGAACAAAUGUGUAAGUAACUAUGCACGUCUUGACGGUACCUAAUCAGAAAGCCGCGGCUAACUACGUG